UGUGUUUUUGGUGUUUCGUGUUCGAUGCUUGGGGAAGUGGGUUGAUUUUGUGGUUUCGUGGCAUUUCGGCACUUCCCUACUUUUUAAGAAAACAUGGGAGGAGGGUUGAAAAUUCACGUCAUUUACUGUGGCGCAUGAGGGUACGCUUCGAGGUUCCGCGACGUCAAAGCGGAACUAGAGAAGACGUUCCCUAGGGAGUUGGACAUCACCUGCGAAGGAACUGUCAACGUCACCGG